rnacentral:misc_RNA from 1 species
GAUGAAGAACGCAGCGAAAUGCGAUACGUAAUGUGAAUUGCAGAAUUCAGUGAAUCAUCGAAUCUUUGAACGCAUAUUGCGCUCUCUGGUAUUCCGGAGAGCAUGCUUGUUUGAGUAUCAGUAAACACCUCAACUCCCCUUUCUUUUUUGAAAUGGGAGCUGGACUUGAGUGAUCCCAACGCUUUUCUCACCGAAAAGUGGCGGGUUACUUGAAAUGCAGGUGCAGCUGGACUUUUCUCUGAGAUAAAAGCAUAUCUAUUUAGUCUGCCUAAAAACAGAUUAUUACCUUUGCUGCAGCUAACAUAAAGGAGAUUAGUUCUUGUGCUGACUGAUGCAGGAUUCACAGAGACAGCUUCGGCUGGCCUUUGUAAACUCGAUCUCAAAUCAAGUAAGACUACCCGCUGAACUUAAGCAUAUCAAUAAGCGGAGGA